rnacentral:lncRNA from 1 species
ACUUCCUCUCUUGGUUUUGACACCAUUUUCUUACCAUGUUAGUCUCUGUGCUUUGGUAAGUCUUCUUUCCGGUUUAAACACCACCCCUAAUCAUUCUCUCUUUCAGUCUCUAUCCUCCGAACUACAAAGCUCUGACUUCCUAAUUGCACUAUGAGGGUAAGUAGGCACGAGGAUGCGAAUCCUUGGCAAACAUUUUUCUUUUUUUCCCUUUUC